UAAUAUAUCUACACUGCGAGUAUUGAUAUUCGGCGCUAUACUAAGUCGAAGUUUCAGUUGUUUGAAUAUUCAAGAAGGUAUUUCCGUCGAGUUUUUUAAGCUGAAGAAACUUAUGAACGCUUUUUGGUGCAAGCGAGUAUGAACAAGCAAAAUUGGAAUAACGACGAUCGACGACGAGUAUGAUCUUGUGAAUUUCCAGAAUUGUCUUUUCCGCAGAGUCAGAAUGACAUAUAAUGCUUUGUGUACCAGUAAGUUACCGGCUGUUUUAGUGGUGCCACGAGACGUGACCGAUGACUCUUUGUUGCGCGUGUCUAAAAACAAUCGCCAUAUGCGUUUUCCUGUUGCGACGUGGAUACAUAAAGGCAAUAAAUUCGCCGUUUUCAUGGGAUCUUUGCCAUUAAACGAAGCUCUGUGGCAUCCAUCAUUCGCUCUGGUGUAGCUCCAAGUGGUGGAAGCACUGACGCAAGACGCUCGUCCAACGUGAAGCAAGAUAAAUAUUUAUCUCCCGUUGUGUCUUCAAAUCCUGUAUCGUGGAAUAAAGCGGAGGCGAAACAUCGUUCACUAGCAGCCAACGUCAGCAUGUCUAAAGCAACGAUGAAUCUACGAUCAAAUGACAAUGCAUCUAAACGUGUUUUUGUUGUGGAUUCUGUUGACAAAGCAAUUACUGAGCAAGGAUGGAAGCCUGCUGCACUGUGACGUCAUUUGCUCAAGUAAUGUUAGAUCCAUACUACCGAACGAUUGAUGGUUUUAAAGUUUAGUUGAAAAAGAAUGGUUGUCCUUUGGACAUCGUUUCUCACAUGGCUGUAAUCAUACAUAUUCAACGCAAUCAAGUGGAUUCACGCCUGUUUUCUUGCAAUUUCUUGAUGGCGUCCAUCAGCAAACGAGAAGCAAGUUUUUUUCGACCUUCGUACAGAGAAACGAUUGUAUAAUUUGUAUGCUGCGACUGAGGAAGAAGCCAAGAAAUGGAUAUCUAAAUUACAAAGCUUGGAUACGUAGAGCUUCCACGGUCCAAUUAUGAAUUUCAUUAUAAUCAAAAGAAAUGUUGUGCAUAUGUGAAAUAUUUUAACAUUUUAGAACGCAUAUUUAGGGUAAUUUAUGUAUGUAUUUUAAUUUUUUUAAAUAAUAGUAUCAUUUUGAGGCACGCACAGGUUUCAAAUAAUUAUGACUGAAAUAACCAAUACGAAUUUUCGUUGUAUUUCCACAUGUUAUAAAAAUAGUGUGACACCAGUUAUAA